CGACCGCUGGCGGCGUGCUUAACACAUGCAAGUCGACCGGAAAGGCCCUGCUUUUGUGGGGUGCUCGAGUGGCGAACGGGUGAGUAACACGUGAGUAACCUGCCCUUGACUUUGGGAUAACUUCAGGAAACUGGGGCUAAUACCGGAUAGGAGCUCCUGCUGCAUGGUGGGGGUUGGAAAGUUUCGGCGGUUGGGGAUGGACUCGCGGCUUAUCAGCUUGUUGGUGGGGUAGUGGCUUACCAAGGCUUUGACGGGUAGCCGGCCUGAGAGGGUGACCGGCCACAUUGGGACUGAGAUACGGCCCAGACUCCUACGGGAGGCAGCAGUGGGGAAUAUUGCACAAUGGGCGGAAGCCUGAUGCAGCAACGCCGCGUGCGGGAUGACGGCCUUCGGGUUGUAAACCGCUUUCGCCUGUGACGAAGCGUGAGUGACGGUAAUGGGUAAUGAAGCACCGGCUAACUACGUG
rnacentral:rRNA from 1 species